UAAAAAUAAAAAAUAAUAAAAAUUAAAAAACAAGGUGCUUGUUUAAAUGAAGCAGUCUCUUUCUAGGACUCCCCCCCCCCCCCGGCCCCCAGAAAAGUAAUGGCGACGUCGGUGGGUGAUUUGGGAACCGUGCACAUUGCUUCAAGACUUACAGAAACGUUGAUGCUGUGUGCUGCCCUCAUCAACUCUCCUCUCCUUUCCUGUUAAAGGAUGUUUCUUUGAGACAAAGAAAAAGUAGUGUCUUUCGUUUCCUGUGUGCUCAAAGAAGUCGGCCUGAACUAUACACAGAACACACAGAUGGAAGAUUUGAAUCAGCUGUGAAAAAGAUGAUCAGUCCUAAUCAGAAAGUAAAAAUUUAUCCCAUCACUUUUUAUGGAUCCUCUUUUGGGAUAGAACUUGAAAACUUUCUGUGGACAGCUUAAAAGCAUUGUUAAAGAAAACUCUUUUGGAAGAAAAGACGCAGAAUCAAAGUAUACAGGAGUUCCCUUGUGGCUCAAGCAGGUUAAGGAUCUGGCAUUGUCAUUCCUGUGGCUCUGGCUAUUGCAGUGGUAAGUGUUUGAUCCCUGGCCUGGAACUUUUGCAUGCUAUGGGCACAGCCCAAAAAAAUUAAAAAACAAGUGUACACCUCAGUGAACACUCUUGCAGCCCCCCUGAUGUUAAGAAAAAGAUCCACCUGAAGCUCAGUCAGGAACCAGCUUCUCCUGCUUCCGCUUCCCUAGGGGAUAACGAACCUCUAUUCUGACUUGGAAGGCAGUCCUCCCCCUUCCUUACAGUGGUUUCUGCAGACUUUUACCUCUGACCUCUAGAUCUGAGGUCUGCCUGUUUGGGGGGCCUUUAUGUAAGCGGCAUGACACAGCA
rnacentral:lncRNA from 1 species